UUUGCGUUAGGGCGCAUGUAUAUGUGUUAGGGCACAUUUAAAAUCUGCAGACAAGGCUAGGGCCUUGAACGUCUCACUUACAGGCCGAUGGGUCUAUUAACGAUGUUUGAGCACGUUAAUUGAGAUGAAAGUGCUAGGGCACUUCUAUGCGUUAGGGCACAGGUAUAUGUGUUAGGGCACAUUAAGUUUAAGUGGUUCUGGCAUGAGUGGCGCUCUCACAUGUCAUGAGAUUUAUUAAUAAAAUAAGGUUUGUUUCGCCGCGCAUGUUUUUUGCUUCAUUUGAUGAUGGGUAAGCGUUGUGGUAUGUAUUUGGCGGCGAUGUUUCUGUUGUCUGGGCAUGUGAACGAAUGUAUCUUUGAGAGUUAUUAGGUUUUCCGGUGACUGGCAUUUUGGUUCGGUGACGGAUGCGCGGUCUACCGGGCUGAUUGGAGGAAUAUGGCCGAGGUGUCGUAUGGAAGUUACAGAAGUUCCUCUUGCUCAGGUUGGAUGGAUCGUCCCUCUGACCGCCCCCAUCCUCCCGCGGUGUUCUGCCCGGGCCGAUCGCUGGGACUCCUUGGAGGUUAGCAUCGUCCCACCCCACCCGGCAACACUGCAUCAAUGGAGAACAUUUCCCUACAAUCGACAUAGCCAACCCCGCUUGUGGCCGAGAUAGCCCCCGAUUGGUUUCGCGCUAUGGACCUUUUCGUUGUGACCGUGGUGGUGUUUGCUCCAGUUUGGAAGUGUUGAGGGAGUCUACGCGGAUCAAGAAAAGGUCCAAAAGUGAGGAGUAGUACCCACUAGAUCUGUAAUCUCCAGUGUUUGCAGCGACUGAGACCAAAGAAGACUACAGACCCGGGGUUGAGGAAGAGACUAGAUUUCAAAUUUAAGCUACCACUAGACAUUUGACUGGACAUUGGAUUUGGGAAGAUACCAGUGGGAAUCAAGACAACGGCUGUUUAGAUGUUGUGUUCCCGCAAGAAUAGAGACGGUUUGCCGCGGGUGAUCCAGGGAGGGGUGCUAACGGUCAGAGGAGACGGUCCAGGGAGCAUCAACCGGUAGGACAUGUGACGCCCCAUUCCUGAUGGGUCCCACACACCCUGUCCAUACCACCUGCUAGGAAUGACCAUAUGUGACCCAACGAGGACUCUCUGGAUAGACACUUGGAACAUAGGUUGGAACAUACCUUACCAAGUGUCAUAGUGCGGUGAGCAGCAGCGCCACCGUGCCAUAUAUUCUCAAGUUCCCAUAUCACACGAACACAUCCCGGACUGUCACAUGUUUUCAAUCCUUCACACCAGGUCCCAAUUUGUAUCAUUUGUAUGUGUUUAAAUGUUUCCCCUCUGCUCCCCACAUUGUGGAUCAUUGUUGCUGUUGCGUCUGUUUGUAUUCUGGUGAGUGUUGUUUGAGCUGCUGUUUGAAUGUUAGUUGUUAAGUUGUUAAGUCUUUAUUUUCAUUCAGUCCUUUCAUUCAGUAUCGUUUUCCGUUCGUGUUUGGUUGUUUGUUUUCAUUAAACCCACGAACAAGAUAACUGCCUGCGUCUGGUUUCCUUGCCAACACUUCACCACAAC
ensembl:lncRNA